rnacentral:tRNA from 1 species
GCGCGAGUAGCUCAGUUGGAUAGAGUGUUUGGCUACGAACCAAAAGGUCGGGGGUUCGAAUCCCUUCUCGCGUACCA